CCUACGGGGAGGCAGCAGUGAGGAAUAUUGGUCAAUGGGCGAGAGCCUGAACCAGCCAAGUCGCGUGAGGGAGUACUGCCCUAUGGGUUGUAGACCUCUUUUGUCGGGGAGCAAAAGCCGGACGUGUCCGGCUGUGAGUGUACCCUACGAACAAGCAUCGGCUCACUCCGUGCCAGCAGCCGCGGUAAUACGGAGGAUGCGAGCGUUACCCGGAUUUAUUGGGUUUAAAGGGUGCGCCGGAGGAUAUUUAAGUCGGCGGUCAAAUCGUGGGGCUAAACCCCAUCCAGCCGUUGAAACUGGGGAUCUAGAGUGUGCGAGAGGUAGGCAGAAUGCGUGGUGUAGCGGUGAAAUGCAUAGAUAUGACGAAGAACCCCGAUUGCGAAGGCAGCAUCCCGGUGAACAACUGACGCUCAGGCACGAAAGCGUGGGUAUCGAACAGGAUUAGAUACCCUAGUAGUC
rnacentral:rRNA from 1 species